AGAGUUUGAUCCUGGCUCAGGAUGAACGCUGACAGAAUGCUUAACACAUGCAAGUCUACUUGAAUUUGGGUUUUUAACUUAGGUUUGGGUGGCGGACGGGUGAGUAACGCGUAAAGAACUUGCCUCACAGCUAGGGACAACAUUUAGAAAUGAAUGCUAAUACCUAAUAUUAUGAUAAUAGGGCAUCCUAUAAUUAUGAAAGCUAUAUGCGCUGUGAGAGAGCUUUGCGUCCCAUUAGCUAGUUGGAGAGGUAACGGCUCACCAAGGCGAUGAUGGGUAGCCGGCCUGAGAGGGUGAUCGGCCACAAGGGGACUGAGACACGGCCCUUACUCCUACGGGAGGCAGCAGUGGGGAAUAUUGGACAAUGGACCGAGAGUCUGAUCCAGCAAUUCUGUGUGCACGAUGAAGUUUUUCGGAAUGUAAAGUGCUUUCAGUUGGGAAGAAAGAAAUGACGGUACCAACAGAAGAAGUGACGGCUAAAUACGUGCCAGCAGCCGCGGUAAUACGUAUGUCACGAGCGUUAUCCGGAUUUAUUGGGCGUAAAGCGCGUCUAGGUGGUUAUAUAAGUCUGAUGUGAAAAUGCAGGGCUCAGCUCUGUAUUGCGUUGGAAACUGUAUAACUAGAGUACUGGAGAGGUAAGCGGAACUACAAGUGUAGAGGUGAAAUUCGUAGAUAUUUGUAGGAAUGCCGAUGGGGAAGCCAGCUUACUGGACAGAUACUGACGCUGAAGCGCGAAAGCGUGGGUAGCAAACAGGAUUAGAUACCCUGGUAGUCCACGCUGUAAACGAUGAUUACUAGGUGUUGGGGGGUCGAACCUCAGCGCCCAAGCAAACGCGAUAAGUAAUCCGCCUGGGGAGUACGUACGCAAGUAUGAAACUCAAAGGAAUUGACAGGGACCCGCACAAGCGGUGGAGCAUGUGGGUUUAAUUCGACGCAA
rnacentral:rRNA from 1 species